rnacentral:rRNA from 1 species
AGUGAACGCUGGCGGUAGGCCUAACACAUGCAAGUCGAACGGCAGCACAGUAAGAGCUUGCUCUUACGGGUGGCGAGUGGCGGACGGGUGAGGAAUACAUCGGAAUCUUCUUUUUCGUGGGGGAUAACGUAGGGAAACUUACGCUAAUACCGCAUACGACCUACGGGUGAAAGCAGGGGAUCUUCGCACCUUGCGCGUUUGAUUGAGCCGAUGUCGGAUUAGCUAGUUGGCGUGGUAAAGGCCCACCAAGGCGACGAUCCGUAGCUGGUCUGAGAGGAUGAUCAGCCACACUGGAACUGAGACACGGUCCAGACUCCUACGGGAGGCAGCAGUGGGGAAUAUUGGGCAAUGGGCGAAAGCCUGAUCCAGCCAUGCCGCGUGGGUGAAGAAGGUCUUCGGAUUGUAAGGCCCUUUUGUUGGGGAAGAAAAGCAGUAGGUUAAUACGCCGCUGUUCUGACGGUACCCAAAGAAUAAGCACCGGCUAACUUCGUG